UUUGAAUGGGUUUUCCUUACACACUGAGUUUCCCCAAACUCACCCCUUUUAUUUUCAUCCAUGCAGGAAAUCCCCAACCAUAGUGGGCUUGGAGCUGUGAGGGAAUUCGGAGUGGCCACCCGUUCUGAAAGUUUGAUUUUCUUCUGGUGAAUUGGACAUCCUUUUAAUUACGUGUGAGGUUUUGGGCUUUUAAAUGUAAUAAGGCCGCUUAUUUAUUUUUGAUGGUUUUUAAUAAGUAUUACUAAGAUAGGUGAUACUUAUUUUAACUAUUGAAAUUGGAUAGCUUUAGGGUGCGUUUUUAAAAACAACAGUUGAUUUCAAAAUAA